UGGCGAACGGGUGAGUAACACGUGAGUAACCUGCCCUUGACUCUGGGAUAAGCCUGGGAAACUGGGUCUAAUACUGGAUACGACCUUCCCACGCAUGUGGUGUUGGUGGAAAGCUUUUGUGGUUUUGGAUGGACUCGCGGCCUAUCAGCUUGUUGGUGGGGUAAUGGCCUACCAAGGCGACGACGGGUAGCCGGCCUGAGAGGGUGGACGGCCACACUGGGACUGAGACACGGCCCAGACUCCUACGGGAGGCAGCAGUGGGGAAUAUUGCACAAUGGGCGCAAGCCUGAUGCAGCGACGCCGCGUGAGGGAUGAAGGCCUUCGGGUUGUAAACCUCUUUCAGUAGGGAAGAAGCGAAAGUGACGGUACCUGCAGAAGAAGCGCCGGCUAACUACGUGCCAGCAGCCGCGGUAAUACGUAGGGCGCAAGCGUUAUCCGGAAUUAUUGGGCGUAAAGAGCUCGUAGGCGGUUUGUCGCGUCUGCCGUGAAAGUCCGGGGCUUAACUCCGGAUCUGCGGUGGGUACGGGCAGACUUGAGUGAUGUAGGGGAGACUGGAAUUCCUGGUGUAGCGGUGAAAUGCGCAGAUAUCAGGAGGAACACCGAUGGCGAAGGCAGGUCUCUGGGCAUUAACUGACGCUGAGGAGCGAAAGCAUGGGGAGCGAACAGGAUUAGAUACCCUGGUAGUCCAUGCCGUAAACGUUGGGCAC
rnacentral:rRNA from 1 species